AUGUCACAGCUCAGUUGCGGGGCCCGCAGUGCGGCUCCCCCCAGCCGCCCCCUUUCUAAGCUUCACUGUGGAACGGCAGGUGCCGCAGCUCCCCCCCUUCCCUCUCCGGCUUCGGCCGCACUCCCGGGCCAGGGUGGGGGGAGGUGUGGUGGAGCAGCGAGACUCCGGCGGCGGGCGCGCCCCUCCUAUCACCCCGAGGUCGCAGUGGGGAGGAAGAGGGGGUACUGGGGGCGGGGAGAAGGGAGAGGAGGGCCGCACGGCUCCGCCGCGGAGCUGUACACGGCAGGGGGAAGGGGCGGGGGCUCCUUUCCAGCCUCCGGGGUCUGGGGACUCGGGGAUGUAAGGCGAGAGCAGGGGGGUGUGACAAUUCAGCAGAGGUCGGGACGUACCACGGAACCCAGUGGCGGGGGGGGCAGAGGACGUGGUCACCGAGGGGAGCCCCCGCCCCCCUCCGCAAAGGCCUACAACCGAGGUUGCAGGGAGAGCUGCAACUCGGUUAGCGGUAGAGGGAAGCGGCGCGUUAAAUCCGCCCCCUCCUCACACCCCACUUCCGAGGGGUGGGCGAUAGAGGAGAGGUUGGGGUUGGAGCGGCAGCGAGGGGGCCCCUCCCUUGCACUUCCCCCCACCGGACUUGGUCGCGCCCGAAGUGUAACACUUUCUCUUUGUCGGAGGAGCUCCGCUGUUUCCUGUGCUGUAGCUCCCGUUGCGGCGGCGCCCGUGGCAGCCCUGGCGGACGCAGGAGCGAUGGCAGCGACCGAUAUAGCUCGCCAGGUGCCGACUCUGGAAAAAAAAAAAAAUCUUCAUUUAAAGAACUGAAGUUUUCCAGCCUGGGAUGUGCAGAGAAAUUAUACUGAAGUGACCCGAGGCUCCAUGUUUGUGUUUUUUAGACCAGAAGUUUUGUUGCAAAGGGAGGGGAUACUUCCAUUUGAGGGAACAACCUAGCCUUUCUAUUCAUACAUGGGUAUCUGGGAUUUUUAAGAGGCCCACCAUUACCAGCACCCUGAGGUGAGGAAGGAGAGUGAAGCAGAGGUAGGUGAGAUCCCAUAAUGCUAAAUACUACCAGAUGAAAAUCUCUAGAAAAAACACAUACAAUGUUUUUAAAUCUUGUUGGCUUACGUAUUCAGGGAAAUAGUCCGUGCAGUGCAAUUCCAGUGCAGAAAUAUAUAUAUAUAUAGCCUCUAGGUAUUCGUAUAAUUGAAAUUGAUUUGUGUUCAAAAUCCAAAUCCAGAAUCUGGUAGUGUUUUUUUUCUGCAGGAUCUGGAUACAUUUAUUCCACCCUCUUGUUUCUGUUUAAAAGGGCAGGGUGAUUUCUUUGUAACCUCCCUCACUUCUUUGCAAGACCCCAGCACGGAGCUCCUUAUGCAGUCCUGCUAUGGAAGGACCAGGAGUAGAUGGGAGACAAGGCUGUGAUAAUGGAAUUUGAGAGAAUUCUCUUCUCAAGAUUGGCACUGUAAUACGUAUCACUUUCGUGGUUUGCGGGUUCCCAGAGUGCCUUCCUGUUCCUCCAUUACUGGCACUUUGGAGAUGGCAUGCCGGAGGUAGAGGAAUUAGUCUCCUGGAUUACACUUGCUCCAUCCUUAAUGACCAAGAAGGAUGCUAAUGAUUUUUCUUGUUAGCUAAUUAAUUUGUAUUGACCUACCCAUACUCUCUCACCAGCCCCCUUGCCUGGAUUGGGAUUGCAGGGCCCAUGAUGUUGCAAGGGGGAACAUUCCAGAAGGCUGAGUUUCACCUCAGGCAACCCAGAGAACCCCUUUGUUUUUCAAAUGGGAGUGGGUGUGGGUGGUUUAGGGCUGCUUGGUUUGCUUUGCUUGGUUCCAGUUUGCUCUAGCUGGCCUUGCCACACUGUAUGAUGAAGCACAUAAUUGUAUGCCGGAUUCUGAAGCUGAAAGAGCAGCCCAGUACUUGAGACCUUGUUAUCGUGAUAAAUGGGUUUCUGGGAAAACUGACUUCACUCUCCAUGCCCUCCUCCCUGAGCCAGUGAAGCUCUUAUUUACGUAUCAUUUGUCUCUCUGCUUCCCUUUGUGUCUGCAAGAAGUUGUAAUUCACGGGGGGGGGGGGGGGGNGGGGGGGGGGGGGGGAGAUGGAAUUAACUUGGGAGACCUUGAAUGUCUGGUUGCUGAUUGUUCCAGGGUUUGGGAAGAGAAGACUGGAGACUAAGCCGAAGUGUGCCUAGCUUAAGAGUUCUUUUUUAAUGAGAUCUGAGACAUGAUGCCAUGCAAGUAGUGCUCUGAAAUAUGUGUGAAUGGUGGGGUAUUCUUUCCAGAGGCAGGUGAAGGUCAGUCUGGCUUGUGAGGUACCAUCAUUAGUGAUGAACAUAAGCCUUAGAGUUGCUGGGUAGGCCUUAUUUGGGCAUGCGUGCAACUUGGAAGCUCAGCUUUUGUGUAUGUAAUACAACCCCAUCCACUCUGAAUGAACAUCACAAAGUUCUGUGUGACAAAACUCUUUCUUUCUUUUCUUUUUUAGGGCCGUACCCAUGGCAUAUGGAGCUUCCCAGACUAGGGGUCAAAUCGGAGCUGUAGCCACUGGCCUACGCCACAGCCAUAGCAACGCAGGAUCCGAGCCACGUCUGCAACCUACACCACAGCUCAGGGCAAUGCUGGAUCCUUAACCCACUGAGGGAGGUCAGGGUUUGAACCUGCAUCCUCAUAGAUACUAGUUAGAUUCAUUGAGUCUUGACAGGAACUCCCCAAACUCUUUCUUCAUUAUGUACACAAGUGUUUAUUUCAUUGGCUGAUAAGUGUCCAGCACUAUGACUAGCCCUGGUCCACUAUAGCAGAGAAAGUACUAAACAUAGUUUCUGGCUUUUAAGCUUAUUACGGUCUGGUUGGAGAGUCAAAUUGUGGACACGGUGAGAUAAUUAGAGAACUGUAAAGGAUUCUUGGGAUGUUCCCAUCUCCAACCCCUGUCUGAGAGAUGGCUUGGGCUGCUAUUAAUAUACACUCUGAGAGAUUCCAUGCCUUGUCCAAGGCACAGUGCCGACCCCAGAGGCUGCAGCGCUUGGCUCUUGCAUUGAAUUCUUUCUUUCAGUGUUGCAUUUUGGGGUCCAGACUACAUGCUGGCCCCUAGGAAGAAGGGCUCAUUGAUUCUGAUUUGAGCCAGUCCCGCAACGUGAACAGUGAUGCUUUCCUCCAGUGGCAGCCAGAUAAUCUCCAAAGAACGCUCCCAAGGCCAGACACUACCCUGGCUGGGGUGUCCCAGAGCAACUACCUACAGGUGGCUGCACUGUGGUCUUGGUAUCAAAUGGCACGUACCCUUGAUUCCCCUUGAAGUGCCCUGCCUCAGCCAUGUCCACUACCUUGCACGAAAAGCCAUAUCAUACCCCCAGCAGGGAGAGGAAAACCCCAUAUUCACCUGUACCUCUACUGGGAAUACUGCAGAAAAUUUGCAUGGCCUCACAUAUUAAAAAUUCUUGAAUCUAAGUUGAGGGUAUAUGCAUGCAUGACCAUUGUACUAUUUUCCAACUCCUCUGUGGCUUUUCAAAAUAAAAAAUUGGGGGAGUUCCCAUCUUGGGUUAGUGGUAACGAACGUGACUAUUAUCCGUGAGGAUGCAGGUUUGAUCCCUGGCCCGGCUCAUUGGGUUAAGGGUCCGGCGUGGUGCAGGUCACAGAUGCUACUCGGAUCCCAGGUUGCUGUGGCUGUGGCUCAGGCCGGCACCUGCGGCUCUGAUUGGACCCCUAGCCUGGGAACCUCCAUAUGCUGUGGGGUCGGCCCUAAAAAGACACACACACACACACACACACACACACAAUAAGCUAGGCUUAAAAAAAAAUGGGGGGGCGAAAUGACGAUGCCCACCCUCCCCUCUCCUACCAAUGCACACAGCUCCUGCUCUCAGGGAGUUUACAAUCUAGUAGUGGAGGCAGACACAAAUAACUGUAUAAUUAUCCUGGUGAUAAGCGCUCCAUCGGAGAGCUAUUGCCUGCUAGGAGAAUUCAUUCCAAAGGGACCUAAUCCAGAAGUAGGUUGGGACAAUGGGUGAUAGGAAGGCUUCCUGAGGGCUUCAAGUAGGAAAAGGGUAGGUGUGAAGAUGGGUGAGAUCUCACUUCUGCUCCUGGGCUGGGAACAUUUCCUUUGUUAAUUCACGCAACUUUUAUUUUCAUUCAUUCCCUUCAACAUGUGUUUAUUGGGCACCGACUCUGCCAGGCCUCGUGCCAGGCGCUGGGGCCAGAGUGGUGGCCAAGGCACACGCCUCUCAGCCCUCUCAGAGCUUUGCAGAUAAGAGGCCGGAAUAAGCUCCGCUUCCUCUUCAUAGCCUAAAUCCUGAAAACGUGUGUCUUCGCCGUGCUCUUAUUACCAAACUGCAUCACAGCCGAGCGAUUUGUCUGUAUAGUAUAAUGAGAUUUUGAUCUGCAGUCAUGUGCACAGCAGUUACUUUGUAGAGUCUCUGCUGUGAAUUUUCCAUUAAUUGCUGGCUUUGUUACCCAGUACGGCCCCUCCCUUUGUGUGCUCUAGGAGCGAACCGGUUGCUUUAGCCCAAGCAAAACUAAUUAGGAAGAUAAGUCCCCUGGAAAAAGGUAUUCCACAACUAAAUAGGACUGAUUUCUGGACUUGCUGUCUGGAUUAUCAGAGCCUUGGUUUCAUAUUAACACGAACAACCGAGGAGCGCUUUCAGCUGCACAUAUAUUAAAACCACAUUCGAGAAAGAGAGAAAAGGAAAGAAAGCAACAGCGUACCAUGGAUAAGUGUAACAUGUCUCUUUCAAGGAUCUCAAAACACUUCCAUCUGUAUGAUUUCAUUUUCCCCAAGAGCUUCCUGGACAAGUGCUCUUCAUUUUAUGGGUUCAAAGAAACCAAGUGAUUCCGUCCAAAGUGUUAUUGCUGGUCAGUGGCUGAAGCGAUGAAACACAUACCAGAUGACACAGAUUCAUUAAAAAAAAAAAAAAAAAACACCUCUGGUCUGCUCAUCACAUUUUCAAGAAAUAAAAAUCCUACCAUGUCCCUUCUUCUCUUCCUUUUCACGGCACCGCCGCCCCCCUAUCCCCACCGGUUCGCUCAUGGAGGUCCAGAAGCAUAGACUUCGGUGCAUUGAAGACUCUGAUGUUAAAAAGAGUCUCAGCUGAAAUCCCAAAUAGCACAGUCAUGGCCAUGUGUGGGCUUUCUUUUUUUUUGCCCCAUAUAUCUUUAAAUAAAAAUCUUGGAGCCACCA
rnacentral:lncRNA from 1 species